rnacentral:rRNA from 1 species
AGAGUUUGAUCCUGGCUCAGAUUGAACGCUGGCGGCAGGCCUAACACAUGCAAGUCGAGCGGUAGAGAGAAGCUUGCUUUUCUUGAGAGCGGCGGACGGGUGAGUAAUGCCUAGGAAUCUGCCUGGUAGUGGGGGAUAACGUUCGGAAACGGACGCUAAUACCGCAUACGUCCUACGGGAGAAAGCAGGGGACCUUUGGGCCUUGCGCUAUCAGAUGAGCCUAGGUCGGAUUAGCUAGUUGGUGAGGUAAUGGCUCACCAAGGCGACGAUCCGUAACUGGUCUGAGAGGAUGAUCAGUCACACUGGAACUGAGACACGGUCCAGACUCCUACGGGAGGCAGCAGUGGGGAAUAUUGGACAAUGGGCGAAAGCCUGAUCCAGCCAUGCCGCGUGUGUGAAGAAGGUCUUCGGAUUGUAAAGCACUUUAAGUUGGGAGGAAGGGCAGUAAAUUAAUACUUUGCUGUUUUGACGUUACCGACAGAAUAAGCACCGGCUAACUCUGUGCCAGCAGCCGCGGUAAUACAGAGGGUGCAAGCGUUAAUCGGAAUUACUGGGCGUAAAGCGCGCGUAGGUGGUUUGUUAAGUUGGAUGUGAAAUCCCCGGGCUCAACCUGGGAACUGCAUUCAAAACUGACUGACUAGAGUAUGGUAGAGGGUGGUGGAAUUUCCUGUGUAGCGGUGAAAUGCGUAGAUAUAGGAAGGAACACCAGUGGCGAAGGCGACCACCUGGACUAAUACUGACACUGAGGUGCGAAAGCGUGGGGAGCAAACAGGGUUAGAUACCCUGGUAGUCCACGCCGUAAACGAUGUCAACUAGCCGUUGGAAGCCUUGAGCUUUUAGUGGCGCAGCUAACGCAUUAAGUUGACCGCCUGGGGAGUACGGCCGCAAGGUUAAAACUCAAAUGAAUUGACGGGGGCCCGCACAAGCGGUGGAGCAUGUGGUUUAAUUCGAAGCAACGCGAAGAACCUUACCAGGCCUUGACAUCCAAUGAACUUUCUAGAGAUAGAUUGGUGCCUUCGGGAACAUUGAGACAGGUGCUGCAUGGCUGUCGUCAGCUCGUGUCGUGAGAUGUUGGGUUAAGUCCCGUAACGAGCGCAACCCUUGUCCUUAGUUACCAGCACGUCAUGGUGGGCACUCUAAGGAGACUGCCGGUGACAAACCGGAGGAAGGUGGGGAUGACGUCAAGUCAUCAUGGCCCUUACGGCCUGGGCUACACACGUGCUACAAUGGUCGGUACAGAGGGUUGCCAAGCCGCGAGGUGGAGCUAAUCCCACAAAACCGAUCGUAGUCCGGAUCGCAGUCUGCAACUCGACUGCGUGAAGUCGGAAUCGCUAGUAAUCGCGAAUCAGAAUGUCGCGGUGAAUACGUUCCCGGGCCUUGUACUCACCGCCCGUC